rnacentral:misc_RNA from 1 species
GCAAACUUGGUCAUUUAGAGGAAGUAAAAGUCGUAACAAGGUUUCCGUAGGUGAACCUGCGGAAGGAUCAUUAAUGAAUGAAUUUAGAGUUGGUUGUAGCUGGCCUUCCAAAGGCAUGUGCACGCCUCCUCUUUCAUCCACACACCCCCUGUGCACUUGUGAGACAGAGGCCUUUGGUUUCCUUUAAUUAGGGGACUUGGUUUCUGUCUGCCUCCACAUAAAAUCUAAUCUAAUUAAAUCUGAAUGUAAUUGAUGUAACGCAUCUAAUACAAAGUUUCAACAACGGAUCUCUUGGCUCUCGCAUCGAUGAAGAACGCAGC